rnacentral:rRNA from 1 species
CUACGGGGGGCAGCAGUGGGGAAUAUUGGACAAUGGGGGAAACCCUGAUCCAGCAAUGCCGCGUGUGUGAAGAAGGCCUGCGGGUUGUAAAGCACUUUCGGUUGGGAGGACUGCUUCUAGCACUAAUAUUGUUGGAAGUUGACGUUACCUUCAGAAGAAGCACCGGCUAACUCCGUGCCAGCAGGCCGCGGUAAUACGGAGGGUGCAAGCGUUAAUCGGAAUUACUGGGCGUAAAGCGCGCGUAGGCGGCUAGAUCAGUCGGGUGUGAAAGCCCCGGGCUUAACCUGGGAACUGCAUCCGAUACUGUAUAGCUUGAGUACAGGAGAGGGGAGUGGAAUUCCACAUGUAGCGGUGAAAUGCGUAGAUAUGUGGAGGAACACCAAUGGCGAAGGCAGCUCUCUGGCCUGAUACUGACGCUGAGGUGCGAAAGCGUGGGGAGCAAACAGGAUUAGAUACCCGAGUAGUC